GUGCGCGUCUCUGAAACGGGGACUUGGGAGCGCGCGCUGCCCCUCACUUGGCUGCAACUGGACCCAGAACUAGGGAAGAGGCCAGGGACAGAUUUUUUUUUUUUAUUUUUAUUUUUUUUGCCGAGGGACGUUUCAAAAUUUUGCACGGCCAGGGUGACAAAAAGAGGAUUUAAGAGCCACAAGCGGUCCGCACAUGACCCAGACUUCGUUCCUGUGCGGCUUCCAGAGGUGUUCAUGCAGAAGACUGGAUGCAGGACCCUUGGUGGCACCAGUGUGCAGAUGAGCAGAUAGUGACUGAUUGCCACUGGGGCUAUAACAAAAUAUAAUAAACUGGGUACCUUAGAAGCAACGGAAAUUGAUUUCUCAUCGUUCUAGAAGCUAGGAAGUUCACGAUCAAGGUAGCAGCAGAGUUGGUGCCUGCUCUGGAGGCUGGAAAUCCAACAACAGAGUGCCAGCAUGAUCAGGUUCUGGAGAGGACCCUCUUCCUGUUUGCAGACUGCUGACUUCUUAUUGUAUAUUCCAAUGGUAGAAAGAGAGCAAGAGAACUCUCUGGAGUCUUUUUUUUAUAAGGGUGCUAACCCCAUUUAAGGAGGUUUCCCCUCAUAAUCUAAUUAUCUCUCAAAAGCCAUACCUUUCAACACCAUUGCAUUGAAGCAGGUAUGCUCACUCUUUCACUAACCUUGAGAGACAUUGUCAGAUGUGCAUAAGGGAAGAACAUGAAGGACGACGGAUAAACUGUACACAGACACAGCACAUGGAGUCUGAGUCAUUUGUUUUCUCUGACAGAUCUUUACCAUGCUGGAUUGGAAGAGAAAAGACCAUCACUAAAGCAAAUGGAUCAAAUGGAGUUAUAAAUCAACUCUGUACUCUACAGGAUUGACUCAACUGCAGACAUCUCCAAUACACUCCCUCAUGGCUUUAUUUUUUCUGCUUAUGUGGAAAAAUAACAGUAAAUACAGUUAACUAUCCCAAGACAGAAGAGUAUUAUUAAAAAAGAAUACAACGUUAUUGAUUUUUCAAGACAUAAUCAGAUAUUUUUAAACUCUGAUUUAAUAAAACAUAAUGUAAUUUC
rnacentral:lncRNA from 1 species